rnacentral:rRNA from 1 species
GACGAACGCUGGCGGCGUGCUUAACACAUGCAAGUCGAACGGAAAGGCCCUGCUUGCAGGGUCCUCGAGUGGCGAACGGGUGAGUAACACGUGGGUGCUCUGCCCUGCACUUCGGGAUAAGCCUGGGAAACUGGGUCUAAUACCGGAUAGGAGCCAUUUUUAGUGUGAUGGUUGGAAAGUUUUUUCGGUGUAGGAUGAGCUCGCGGCCUAUCAGCUUGUUGGUGGGGUAAUGGCCUACCAAGGCGGCGACGGGUAGCCGGCCUGAGAGGGUGGACGGCCACAUAGAGUCUUAGGGACGGCCCAGGCGCGGACGGGAGGCAGCAGGGGGGAAGAUUGCACAAUGGGCGCAAGCCGGAUGCAGCGGGGCUGCGUGGGGGAUGACGGCCUUCUGGUUGUAGAAUACUAGCGCGAGGGACGAAGCUUUUUGUGACGGUACCUAGAUAAGAAGCACCGGCUAACUACGUG